rfam:Yersinia mollaretii ATCC 43969 contig01599, whole genome shotgun sequence.
GAAAUAAAAUCAUAACUCCCCUUAUAAAAGGAGCCUGACAGCAUGGCUAGCACCACAAUGGGCGUAAAACUC